rnacentral:lncRNA from 1 species
CCCCGGACCCAGCCUCCCGGCCCAGCUCGGCCCCGGGGCGUCCGCCCGCGGGCUCCGGCCGCCAAGGCGCAGCCCCAGCCGCAGGAGGGGGACCCGGAAAAGGUUUCUCGGGCGCUCACCGGGAAGGGGACGGGGAGAGUUCCCCCAGAGAGGCCGCCGCUUCCCGGAGCGGCCGGAGCGCCCCCGGGGCUCCCGGGAGGACUUAGAAAAUCAGGGCGGGCGGGGACGGUCAAACCGAAACCAGGCACGUCAUCCGAGAAGGACCGUGAUGACGGGAGGAGGAAAGCUUUCAAGCGCAGAGGGUCUGUCGAAGGCAGGCGGAGAGUCUACCCGCUGAAACGGACGAAGAUGGGAAAAAGAGGCUAGCUGAGGUGCCGACAUUUAAGGAAAUUAAAAAAAAAAAAAAAGCACGAGGGCGUGGAGAACUGGGGGAAAAUCAACACUGAGAAAUCUACCCUCUGAAACUGACGAAGAUGGGCAACAGGGGCUAGCUCGGGUGGCAAUCUUUAAGCAGAACACACACACACACACACACACACACACACACACAGGCGUAGAGACCUGGGGAAAAAGCAACGCUGAGAAAUCUACCCUCUGAAACUGACGAACAUGGGCAACACAGGCUAGCUCAGGUGGCAAUCGUUAAGCAAAAAAAUAAAUAAAUAAAAUAAAAAACUACAAUGGCGAGGAGACCCGGUGAAAAAGCAACCCUGAAAAAAGGUACCCUCUGAAACGGAGGAAGCAGGGCAACAGAGCCUAGCUCAGGUGACAAUAUUUAAGCCAAAAAGAAAGAA